AUGAAGUUCAUGUAUAAAGAGGGGCAUCCGUUUGAGAAAUGCCGCUCUGAGGGCGAGAAGAUCUGAAAGAAAUACCCGGGCCGGGUUCCGGUGACAGUAGAAAAGGCUCCCAAAGCUCGGAUAGGCGACCUGGACAAAAAGAAAGAUCUGGUGCCUUCUGAUCUCACAGUUGGUCAGUUCUACUUCUUGAUCCGGAAACGCAUUCAUCUCCAAGCUGAGGAUGCCUUGUUUUUCUUUGUCAACAAUGUCAUUCCACCCACCAGUGCCACAGUGGGUCAGCUCUACCAGGAACACCAUAUAGAGGACUUCUUUCUAUGCAUCACCUACAGUGAGGAAAGUGUCUACGGUCUGUGAAGCUGCUCCCCCUGAGGUGGGGGCUCCUGUUCUACAAAGAGAGAGGUGGCCCCCCCCUUCCUUGACCUACUCCUCCUCGGGGCUCAACCACCACAUCCCUUCUAUAGGACCUGCACUUCCUAAUGUUUGAGGCUCUCCUCCAGCCCCUCUAAGCAGGAGGGCUCAUGGGGGAGGUGGCCUCUUGGACCUCUCCUUUCUCCCCUUGCUCUUACCACCUUUCCCACUCUGCUUUAGACUUCUCAAUUGUCAAUCUCUGUCACAUCCAGUGAUUGUUUUGGUUUCUGUUCCCUUUCUAACUGCCCAAGGGGCUCAGAACGCCAACAUUCCCUUCCUUUCACUACCUUCUUUUUUGGGGGUAGAUGGAAGGGACUGAAAUUGUGGGGGGCGGAGGGUAGGAGGCACAUCAAUAAAGAGGAAACCACCAAGCUGAAAAAAAAA